GCCUAGCCCUAAACCUUGGUAAUAUAUCACAUACCCUACCCGCCUGGGAACUACGAGCACCAGCUUAAAACCCAAAGGACUUGGCGGUGCUUUAGACCCCCCUAGAGGAGCCUGUUCUAGAACCGAUAACCCCCGUUCAACCUCACCCUUCCUUGUUUAUCCCGCCUAUAUACCGCCGUCGUCAGCUUACCCUGUGAAGGCCUAAAAGUAAGCACAACUGGCAUAACCCAAAACGUCAGGUCGAGGUGUAGCGCAUGGAGGGGGAAGAAAUGGGCUACAUUCCCUAUACUAGGGAACACGAACGGCGCACUGAAACACGCGCCUGAAGGAGGAUUUAGUAGUAAGCGGAAAAUAGCGUGUUCCGCUGAAAUCGGCCCUGAAGCGCGC
rnacentral:rRNA from 1 species